GACGAACGCUGGCGGCGUGCCUAAUACAUGCAAGUAGAACGCUGAAGCGAGGAGCUUGCUCUUCUUGGAUGAGUUGCGAACGGGUGAGUAACGCGUAGGUAACCUGCCUUGUAGCGGGGGAUAACUAUUGGAAACGAUAGCUAAUACCGCAUAACAAUGGAUGACACAUGUCAUUUAUUUGAAAGGGGCAAUUGCUCCACUACAAGAUGGACCUGCGUUGUAUUAGCUAGUAGGUGAGGUAAUGGCCCACCUAGGCGACGAUACAUAGCCGACCUGAGAGGGUGAUCGGCCAACCUGGGACUGAGACACGGCCCAGACUCCUACGGGGGGCAGCAGGAGGGAAUCUUCGGCAAUGGGGGCAACCCUGACCGAGCAACGCCGCGGGAGUGAAGAAGGUUUUCGGAUCGUAAAGCUCUGUUGUAAGUCAAGAACGGGUGUGAGAGUGGAAAGUUCACACUGUGACGGUAGCUUACCAGAAAGGGACGGCUAACUACGUG
rnacentral:rRNA from 1 species